rnacentral:rRNA from 1 species
CCUACGGGAGGCAGCAGUGGGGAAUUUUGGACAAUGGGCGAAAGCCUGAUCCAGCCAUUCCGCGUGCAGGAUGAAGGCCCUCGGGUUGUAAACUGCUUUUGUACAGAACGAAAAGGUUUCUACUAAUACUAGGAGCUCAUGACGGUACUGUAAGAAUAAGCACCGGCUAACUACGUGCCAGCAGCCGCGGUAAUACGUAGGGUGCAAGCGUUAAUCGGAAUUACUGGGCGUAAAGCGUGCGCAGGCGGUUAUAUAAGUCAGAUGUGAAAUCCCCGGGCUCAACCUGGGAACUGCAUUUGAGACUGUAUAGCUAGAGUACGGUAGAGGGGGAUGGAAUUCCGCGUGUAGCAGUGAAAUGCGUAGAUAUGCGGAGGAACACCGAUGGCGAAGGCAAUCCCCUGGACCUGUACUGACGCUCAUGCACGAAAGCGUGGGGAGCAAACAGGAUUAGAUACCCUGGUAGUCCACGCCCUAAACGAUGUCAACUGGUUGUUGGGUCUUAACUGACUCAGUAACGAAGCUAACGCGUGAAGUUGACCGCCUGGGGAGUAACGGCCGCGAAGGUUGAAACUUCAAAGGAAUUGACGG